CUGCGAAAGGGCAAAGUGUGGGCAGCUCAAAGUUAGAGAUUAAACACAUAGUGUACAGAUGGACGGGAGCAAAUUUUCCAUAAUCUACAACAAAACGCUGAUCAAGAGUCGCUGGGUUUAAUAGAGGACUGACAGCGCCUGCAGUCACCACCUCUCAUUAACCAGCAGGAGUUAAAGAACCCAAAGCCACAUAAAUCGCUGCGAUAUAAAGUUUCGCAGGGCAGACAGAGGGACAGACAGAGGGGGAUAGAAGCCCUUUCACCGGGAACAUCUGGAACUUUCCAGCCUCUCCAGAUAGAGACACACACCAUUUUGAGGAUAUGAAAGCUGUCACAUCUUUUAUAUGGCGGCACUCUCAUUAAAGACUGGGAGGGCGUGCGCCACGAUCAUCAUUCUGAAAAGCGAGAUGUACGCUGAUUGGCCAGCUAUCCAGUGCAUUGUGAUUGGCUGAAUGCCUCAAGCGUGUGACGGAAAUGUUACGCCCCUUGCCAUACUGUGAUGCCGUCUCCCGGAACGACAAGGACUUACGAUCCACUCCCACACUCCUCUGACAGACGGAAGAUUCACACCAGGGACUGGCCAUUACAAGUUUUAACAUCUGAGGUUUGGGUUUUCAUUAGUGCACUUGUCUGUGUGUGUUUCCACAUAGCAAAGCAUGCUUCUACUGUAUGCAUAUGCUUAUUAACCUUUUUUUUUUUUAAUCUGACACGGUUGUUACCUAACUGA
ensembl:lncRNA